rnacentral:rRNA from 1 species
AUUGAACGCUGGCGGCAGGCCUAACACAUGCAAGUCGAGCGGAUGAAGGUAGCUUGCUCCUGGAUUCAGCGGCGGACGGGUGAGUAAUGCCUAGGAAUCUGCCUGGUAGUGGGGGAUAACGUCCGGAAACGGGCGCUAAUACCGCAUACGUCCUGAGGGUGAAAGUGGGUGAUCUUCGGACCUCUCGCUAUCAUAUGAGCCUAGGUCGGAUUAGCUAGUUGGUGGGGUAAAGGCCUACCAAGGCGACGAUCCGUAACUGGUCUGAGAGGAUGAUCAGUCACACUGGAACUGAGACACGGUCCAGACUCCUACGGGAGGCAGCAGUGGGGAAUAUUGGACAAUGGGCGAAAGCCUGAUCCAGCCAUGCCGCGUGUGUGAAGAAGGUCUUCGGAUUGUAAAGCACUUUAAGUUGGGAGGAAGGGCAGUAAGUUAAUACCUUGCUGUUUUGACGUUACCAACAGAAUAAGCACCGGCUAACUUCGUG